UACGUAGGGUGCGAGCGUUGUCCGGAAUUACUGGGCGUAAAGAGCUCGUAGGUGGUUUGUCGCGUUGUUCGUGAAAUCUCACGGCUUAACUGUGAGCGUGCGGGCGAUACGGGCAGACUAGAGUACUGCAGGGGAGACUGGAAUUCCUGGUGUAGCGGUGGAAUGCGCAGAUAUCAGGAGGAACACCGGUGGCGAAGGCGGGUCACUGGCCCGGUACUGACGCUGAGGUGCGAAAGCGUGGGGAGCAAACAGG
rnacentral:rRNA from 1 species